AGUUUUUUAUAUAUAUAAUCCAUAAAUUCUGCUAUGUAUCUAAAACAUGUAACUUCUAUUAUAGAAAAUAUGCAAUUUCUGAUAUAUACAUUUAUGUUUACUUUUCUAGAAAUAAUUUCUUUAUUAAUACUGUGGUGGAAAUCACUGAGUCUUUGGAACAAAACAAACUUCAAAUUCAUGAUCUUUCAGGAAGUUAUUAACGCCUCCAAGGCUCGGUUUCUUCACCUGCAAGACAGGAUUAACAAUGGAAAAUCAUAUGGCUCAAGUGGAAUCAAGGAGGAAGUGACGUGAUUUGAUUUUUGCCACCCCUUCCAUUAUCAAAGAAAUUCUUGGUAAAUGAAAACAGCUCAAAUAAAACAACAAACGGCAACAACGAGAAGAAACCAACAAUGCUGAACAAUGAACGAACUGAAUAAUCAAAACACUGAAGGACAAAAACACAUUUAUCUCCAAAUGUAGGUUUUGAAUGACAAUCCGGUAAGUUUUUCAAACUAGGGGAGAACGGUAGGAAAGCACUUUCUGUACCGAUAUCAAAUUAGACAAUUCAAGACAAUUUUAUUACACUAAUAACCCUGCUUCUCUUCUCCCCUCCCCUACCAAAAAAAAAAAAAAAUUAAGAUGAGAUCCAUUUAUGUACGAACUAUUACAAACCAAAAUCACUUAAAUCCAGACGUAACCUUAUUAUUCUAACAGUAUGUUUUAAUACAUCAGUAUAUUCAUCAUAGUAAGAAACGGAUUCUUUUAGGAUCUUCCAUAAUAAAUGGGGGAGAGGGGAAGCUUGGGGAAAGAAUACAAUUGGAGGUCCACACCACAUGUGUAAAUAUUUAAAAGUUUUAAGAUAUGUUCUGCCUUCCUAUUUUGACAAAGAUACCUUCAUAAAGAUCUUGACGUCCACGUUUGAACUUUAGAGUUCUUGUAGUUGCGUGUCAGAAUAUGGUGAUGAAAACAGCCCCACACCCCAGCCCAUGGCCCAUCCCUGGUGUAGUCAUAAAGCUUCGAGGGCCUCGAGCCAACUUGGGUGAACACCCCAAUCCAUGUGUCCAUAUUCUGUCCACACUGCUGCAUCAGCCACUUACCAGACUUCCAGGGUUUUUUGUGGGUUUGUUUCUUUGUUUUUGUUCCUGUUUUCCAGGUUUCCUAAGAUAUAUUUGGCCCAUAACAUUGUGUCUGCUUCAGGUGUACAAGGAGAUGAUUUUCUAUACGUAUCUGUGGUGACACGAUUACCACCUGCUUGUCACACGAUCACAUGAUGGUUCACCCGUCCAUCGCUUCACUUAGUUACUUUUUUCCACUGAGAUAUAAUUGACACCUAUUAGCUUCAGGUGGAUGGCACAAUGACUCAACAUCUGUAUAUCUUGUGAAAUGGUCACCACAAUACAUCUGCUUAUCAUCCACCGCCA